rnacentral:rRNA from 1 species
CGGUAGCAGGAAGUGCUUGCACUUCGCUGACGAGCGGCGGACGGGUGCGUAACACGUAGGAAUCUGCCUGGUAGUGGGGGAUAGCCCGGAGAAAUCCGGAUUAAUACCGCAUACGCCUUACGAGGGAAAGCAGGGGAUCUUCGGACCUUGCACUAUCAGAUGAGCCUGCGUCGGAUUAGCUGGUUGGUGGGGUAAAGGCCUACCAAGGCGACGAUCCGUAGCUGGUCUGAGAGGAUGAUCAGCCACACUGGGACUGAGACACGGCCCAGACUCCUGCGGGAGGCAGCAGUGGGGAAUAUUGCACAAUGGGCGAAAGCCUGAUGCAGCCAUGCCGCGUGUGUGAAGAAGGCCCUAGGGUUGUAAAGCACUUUCAGUGGGGAGGAAAGGUUGCUGGUUAAUACCCAGCAGCUGUGACGUCACCCACAGAAGAAGCACCGGCUAACUCCGUGCCAGCAGCCGCGGUAAUACGGAGGGUGCGAGCGUUAAUCGGAAUUACUGGGCGUAAAGCGUGCGUAGGCGGCUACCUAAGUUGGAUGUGAAAGCCCCGGGCUCAACCUGGGAACUGCAUCCAAAACUGGGUGGCUAGAGUACGGGAGAGGAGUGUGGAAUUUCCUGUGUAGCGGUGAAAUGCGUAGAUAUAGGAAGGAACACCAGUGGCGAAGGCGACACUCUGGCCUGAUACUGACGCUGAGGUACGAAAGCGUGGGGAGCAAACAGGAUUAGAUACCCUGGUAGUCCACGCCGUAAACGAUGUCUACUAGUUGUCGGUUGUCUUGUACGACUGGUAACGCAGCUAACGCGAUAAGUAGACCGCCUGGGGAGUACGGUCGCAAGGU